rnacentral:lncRNA from 1 species
UGAGCCGCUGCAGCGCAGCUGCUGCGGGGAAGCCGCGCGCUCUAACCCGUACUGGGGACAAGGAGCAGUCUCUGCGCGGCAGUGGGAAGGAGUAGCGUAGACUAGGAGGCCCAGACACCCCGGUCGGUGGUGGGCUGGUGACAUAGCUAGUAAAUGACCAUGCGUACGGCCGGCCUCAGCCUAGAGGAGCCGAGGCCCCUGACAAAGGCUGGGAGCUUGUGGGCCAGACUCUGAGCUCUGGAACCUGAACACUCCUGGCGCUUCAUACCCCUUGGCAGAUAACCCUACAGUAUUCCAUCCAAACCUGGGCACAGAAAGGGGGCUUUGGUGUCGGGCAGAUAUGGGCAUGAGAUCGAUCCUUAGAAACUGGCAAAGGACAGGCACUGGGUUGAUAACAGUGGUCUCCAGGAGGUCAGAGGAAGAGGCCAAGCCCUUUAAAUGUAGCAAAAGUUGUGUGCAGGAACAGACCCGAUUAUCUAGUGAUACCCCUCACUUCUUCCUGCUGAUGGGAACUUUGAACCCAGGAGGGAGAGCUAUUACUGCAGCCACGAGGCUUUUGGGAACAGAGCUCCAAUGUGUGCCCCUCCUGGGAGUAAGGGAGCAGAUGGCUGGGGAACAGGAGGCUCGGCACUCCUGUGUCCCCAGGGCAAUGGAGUCCAUGCACAGCCCAGCUGCUCCCUCCAGAGCACUCCACAAGCAGGGAAACAGUUGUGACAGCUACUCCUGGGUUUCUGUUGCCGUCACAUGUCAGCCUGGGUUCUAGGCCAGUACCCUUUCAGGGGCAGAGCAGGUCACUGAAGUGAGGAGGGAGUGUGAUGUGUGUCUAAGUGUCCAGACACCUCACCAGGCAGCUGCCAAGAGCCAGGCCUCUGUUUUAGCACACUCCUCAGGGAACCCCAGGAGGUACCUGCUGUUGGCUCCGGUUCUUAGGCAGCAAAGCAGGGAUCCACCCUGCCCCGGCUCCCUCCAAAAAGUUCCGGGUCAUUCAAGGAGGUUCCAUCUUGGGGCUGGCUGGCUAGCUAGCUACAAGGGGCACCAACCACCCCUCAGCCUGGAGCCCCCCACCUCUACACACCCCCUUACUCCCACCACAAAGGGCUAUAGGUCUCCCUGCCCUGCCUGAGUCCAGUUUACAAACUGUGGUUGCUCCAGGGCCUGGUCCUACUCUCCUGGGGUGCCACCACUUCCCUAGUGGACACAGGGCCACAUAUGCCAGGUAAGUAGCAAACCCCUCCUCCUGCCAAGAGCCGAGUCUCAGAAGGCCCCCAUCACUGCCCUGGCCCACCUGGGGCCAUUAGGCCCUCCUUCCCAGCCGCUGCCUCUCCUCUUGCCUUAGGCCUCUCCACCCUGAUCUGCAAUAACAAGGAAGCGAGAUUCCACGGUAGACAUCCCGCAUCCCACAAGCGCCCCUCUCUGUUGAGAUCCUGUGUGGGAGGCUUCUCCCUUGUAGUAUCUAGGAUGGUAGUCCUCAGAAGAGACCUUAGGUACGUAGCCCAGCCCCAUUGUUUAGAGGCAGCAACCAGCCUGACCUGGAACAGGACUCGGACUGGGUCAGCCUCUGCUCUUGCCACCGCUGGUACUGUCUCUGUCGGUUGGGUUGGGACCCUUUGCCCCUUAGGAGAGGUGUUGGUUACAGAUGUUUACCUCAGUUUGAAGAAACAAAACUGUUGAAGAAACAAAUAAUAAUAAUAGCAAAAAAUUAGUAACACGGUAGACAUGGAGGCUUAGAAGACAAACCACAGAGGAAACCUCCCCCUUUACAAGUUUUCUGUGAAGUACAGUUUGUUCACGUACGCACACAUAUGUGUGCAUCUCUGUCUCACCCCAGGGCAGGCCAAAUCAUCUAUUGACACCUGUCCCAGCCUGUGUGUCCCUCACACUGCCCCCUGUCCUUUGGUGCUUCCCAGGGGCCCCUUUGAGCUGGCUUGUGGGGUAUAGGAGAGCUCCCCGGAUGGGAAGUGAGGCCUCGGGUUAGCUAGAGGUCUCCCACCAGGUUCUGUGAGCAGAGAGCCCUAUGACUGUGAUGUUCCCUGAGCCCACAGGACAGUCCUGGUGGCUGGCAACAGUGUCCAGUUCUGGGGCAGAGCCUGGGUUGUUCUCACGCAGUAGAGCCUCACACCCCUGUCUCGCCUCUCCUACCCCAUGUGUUUGUAAAUACUCUGGCUUCCUUUGGCCCUGAGGAGGUUUUUAAAUGUGUUAUUUACUUCUCUAACUAUGACAAUUGCUAUAAAAUAAAAAUUU